GAUGAACGCUGGCGGCGUGCCUAAUACAUGCGAGUCGAGCGAACAGACGAGGAGCUUGCUCCUCUGACGUUAGCGGCGGACGGGUGAGUAACACGUGGAUAACCUACCUAUAAGACUGGGAUAACUUCGGGAAACCGGAGCUAAUACCGGAUAAUAUAUUGAACCGCAUGGUUCAAUAGUGUAAGACGGUUUUGCUGUCACUUAUAGAUGGAUCCGCGCCGCAUUAGCUAGUUGGUAAGGUAACGGCUUACCAAGGCAACGAUGCGUAGCCGACCUGAGAGGGUGAUCGGCCACACUGGAACUGAGACACGGUCCAGACUCCUACGGGAGGCAGCAGUAGGGAAUCUUCCGCAAUGGGCGAAAGCCUGACGGAGCAACGCCGCGUGAGUGAUGAAGGUCUUCGGAUCGUAAAACUCUGUUAUUAGGGAAGAACAAAUGUGUAAGUAACUAUGCACGUCUGGACGGUACCUAAGCAGAAAGCCACGGCUAACUACGG
rnacentral:rRNA from 1 species